AAGUCGUAACAAGGUUUCCGUAGGUGAACCUGCGGAAGGAUCAUUAACACGUAUCCAACGUUAAAACAACCCUGUGAACCUUCAAUCUUGCUCGCGUGGCUCCAUGAAAGCAGCAAUCCCUGGUAAAUCAUUGCCGACCAGAUUUUGAGUCAGGGACCCCCAAGCAAUCAUAGUUCUGAAAGAGGCCGACACGGCCGACGACCGGGUCCCUGGGUCACCAUGCCCCUUAAUCACCACACUGUAACGCCGACAGGUCGCGAUAAUUCCGCUGACCACAAAAAACCGAACAACUGUUAACAAAUGGAUAUCUUGGUUCUC
rnacentral:misc_RNA from 1 species